UUUAUCUGAUUUUAAUACAUGCUGAAUCUAUGUGCCAAUUUUAAUUUAUAACCGCUUUUAUUCAAUUGUUAAAAGAAGGUGAACAUCGUUUAAAACGUGUCUUUAGGUCGCGUCACAUGAAAUGCACCUGCAAUCCUAAGCAUAUUUUAUCCAACAUUUUGGGAUUUGAUUUGGGUCACAUGAAAUGCACACCCGAGUUUAAGAAGGUAAAUUAUCAAAAUACGCGCUUAAAGUAACUAACGCGUUAUUAUCUUUGAGGAAGGCCGUGAAAUUCGUUGAACGGCUCAUCUCGAAUUCAAAGUACUUUAAUAUAAGCAAUUAAAGAGGGCCCCACAACUUAUGCAUUUUAUUUGGCGGGGCGCACCUCGUUUAUUAUUUAAGGGUCAACCUAAAGCAAACUAUGGUUCUUUGUUUAAUUUGUCUCUAAUAAUAAAAGAAAAAGCCCUAAUUAAUUAAGGUUAUUAAAAUUCGGGCCUCGAAUCCAAGUCCGAAUUCAAACAAAAGGGCAAGCCUCUUAGCUCAAAUCCGUCACCUAAAUCAAAGGCUCUAAAUUGAUAUCACUUUAAAUUACGAUUUAAGGCCUUUAAGCCCAAAUUCAAACUAGAGAACUUUAGUAAGCUUAGAUGAGUGUGGGCAUGUUAAAAAGGCCCAAAAUGAAAGUAAGCUGAACUUUACAAUUAAAAUUAAUUAAGCAAGUAAAAUUAACUCAGCAGGCUUUUAGAAAACGAACAGAAAAUAAAAGCCUUAUACUAAACAAUUGACCAAUACAUGAAAUAAUAGGCAUGAAUUAGGAAGAACCAAUUUAAAAUUCAAUGUUUGUCCUAAACAACUUUUAAUCAUAAUUCCAUUUCAGAUUCCAUUUUAAUCUAGCUGAUUGUUUUUUGGAGAAUUGAAGCAAGUCACUUUGCCAGUUUUAAACAUUUACGACGAUUGAAUGGAUCAACAAUUCACCCAAAUGUGCAAAAGGUUCAGCACCUGAUUUUAUACUUAUGAACCUACAACCAAUCAUAUUCCAUUUGUAAACUAGUAAAUUGGCAAGUGUGAAUUAAUUCAUGCUUUUGUCUCCAUUUGUUAAAUACUCACACAUAUUCAAAGGUUCGACUGCUAACUACACAUGAGGAACUAAAAUUAGUUUUACAUUUAUGUUGCUGUUAACAUCAAACUACGAAUCUACACCAGCUAACGAAUAUCAACAAUCUGAUACAAAUCAUCAGUCCAAACAGCUCAGUCUUAUGUUCAAAUAGGUCAAUAGAAUAAUAUGAAACUACCGGAGAAUCUAACAUGAAAAUUGACAAAAAACAAAGCUAUUCUGCCAUUGAAUUCAUGUUCACAACUUGGAGAUUUCAGGAUGUAUACCUGGAUUUGAAUGAAUAGAAGAACAUGAGUCAGUCACAGAGUGUUAGACAGUAAUCAACAACUCAAAUCAGCAGCAAACAAAACCAACUUUAGGCCCGAAUCAACACCACAAUUCCCAGGAAGGAAUAACAGGGAAGCAACUCCAAGUGAAUCAACCAAACACACUUGUUUGAACUCAAAUUUACUUGAAUGUAAACCAUGAACACCUUUGAAAACUUCAGCAACCAAAAUUAAGCUAAAUGAUGCAAAUCAACACUAAACUUUAAAUUAAACCCAAAAUUACAAUAGAACAGUUUUUUUUAGUUUUCUGCUGUAUUUUCCUUUUGUUUUUGGUUUUCUUUGAAGAUUUGGAAUUUGAAUUUCAAAUUUCAUAUUUGAAACUUGAAGAACACUUUUUUAGGGAAUUUUCAGUUGUGGAAAACUUUGGAAUAUUUUUGGGGGAAAAUUUUUUGAGGCUCAAAACUUGUGAAUUAAGGUAUUGGGGCAGCUUUAUAUAGGUACAGAUGAGGGCAGCCUCAAAUUACUUCAGUUUUGCAUUACAUCCUUUUUUUAAUUUUCGUUUUUUGCAUAAGUAUCCCUAAAGUUGUGACUUGUUUUCCAAGUUGCUCUAUCUAAAGUCUGAAAUUUCAAUUGAGACCCCUUUUAGGUGCUUCUAGAAUCUGUUACCAAAGAUUUCUUGAGUUGAAUUCCCUAAACUAAGCCCCCAAGUACCGUGUUAUUACUGUUAGAGACAAUUAAGUCAAGCUGAACCAAAUACCCAAACAAAUUGGGUUUUAUCAAACAAGUUCCCCCAUUUUUUAGGCCUCAAAUCACCAAACCCCAACCAAAAAUUAAACUCAAAAGACUGAAUGGGCCAAUGGGAGAUACCCCAACAAAAUCAAAAUUUAAUAAUUUGCAAACAAAGUCGAAUGAAAUGAAAAUAAUGACAGAACUUAACAAGCUUGAAACAAACACGAGCAAACAAAUCUCAAAUCAAGCAGGCGUGGUCAACUUGGAGCGAGAGAAAAAAAAUGGCAGAGAGGAGAAGAGAGAGGCAAACAAUGCAUGGCAUUGGUACUGAGGGACUAAACAAAAGAAUAAAAUGAACAAAAACACCUAUUUGCAAAUGGACGAAACUCGGGCAACUUCAGGCAACUUUGAUUUGACCCGAAACUGGUAUUACCCGCGCGUUCUUUUGAGAACAGAUGAACAAUACUAGUCUCGAGCCACAUCGUUCAUAGAAAACAUGGCAGCUUUUCCGGAUUGCCUCCUUCUUCAUUUUCAGAUUUGAUUUGGACCUGGUCGUGUAAGGAUUUGGGGAGAAAUAGUAGCGGAUUGGGAAUAAGGAUAUGGUGAUUGUUGCACGGCCAGAUUUUGGUGGGGAUUGGAGUUGUUCCACCGGCGACAAUGGUGAUUAUAGGGCUUUGAGAUGAAGGGGAUGGAGUACUAGGGUGUUUGGAA
rnacentral:lncRNA from 1 species